rnacentral:lncRNA from 1 species
CCCUCACCUCCCCUCGCCUCCCCUCACCUCCCCUCACCUCCCCUCACCUCCCCUCACCCCCCCUCACCUCACCUCACCUCACCUCACCUCACCUCACCUCACCUCACCUCACCUCACCUCACCUCACCUCACCUCACCUCACCUCACCUCACCUCACCUCACCUCACCUCACCUCACCUCACCUCACCUCACCUCACCUCACCUCACCUCACCUCACCUCACCUCACCUCACCUCACCUCACCUCACCUCACCUCACCUCACCUCACCUCACCUCACCUCACCUCACCUCACCUCACCCCCCCUCACC